rnacentral:rRNA from 1 species
AGGGUUUGAUCCUGGCUCAGAUUGAACGCUGGUGGUAUGCUUAACACAUGCAAGUCGAACGGUAACAUUGGAGCUUGCUCCAGAUGACGAGUGGCGGACGGGUGAGUAACGCGUAGGAAUCUGCCUAGUAGUGGGGGACAACAUGUGGAAACGCAUGCUAAUACCGCAUACGCCCUACGGGGGAAAGCGAGGGAUCUUCGGACCUCGCGCUAUUAGAUGAGCCUGCGUUAGAUUAGCUAGUUGGUGGGGUAAUGGCCUACCAAGGCGACGAUCUAUAGCUGGUCUGAGAGGACGAUCAGCCACACUGGGACUGAGACACGGCCCAGACUCCUACGGGAGGCAGCAGUGGGGAAUAUUGGACAAUGGGCGAAAGCCUGAUCCAGCAAUACCACGUGUGUGAAGAAGGCCUGAGGGUUGUAAAGCACUUUCAAUUGGGAGGAAAACAGCUGGGUUAAUAGCCCUGCUCUUGACAUUACCUUUAGAAGAAGCACCGGCUAACUCCGUGCCAGCAGCCGCGGUAAUACGGAGGGUGCGAGCGUUAAUCGGAAUUACUGGGCGUAAAGCGUACGUAGGCGGUUAUUUAAGUCAGAUGUGAAAGCCCCGGGCUCAACCUGGGAACUGCAUUUGAUACUGGAUAACUAGAGUUUGAUAGAGGAGAGUAGAAUUUCUGGUGUAGCG